AACGCUGGCGGCAGGCCUAACACAUGCAAGUCGAGCGGCAGGCGGCAGUAGCAAUACUGUGGGCGGCGAGCGGCGGACGGGUGAGGAAUACAUCGGAAUCUACCCAGUCGUGGGGGAUAACGUAGGGAAACUUACGCUAAUACCGCAUACGACCUGAGGGUGAAAGCAGGGGACCGCAAGGCCUUGGGGGAUUGGAUGAGCCGAUGUCGGAUUAGCUAGUUGGUGGGGUAAAGGCCCACCAAGGCGACGAUCCGUAGCUGGUCUGAGAGGAGGAUCAGCCACACUGGAACUGAGACACGGUCAAGAUUCCUACGGAGGGCAGCAGUGGGAAAUAUUGGACAAUGGGCGCAAGCCUGACCCAGCCUUGCCGCGGGGGUUAAAGAAAGCCCUUCGGUUGUAAAAGCAUUUUUGGUGGGGAAAAAAAACCGUUUGGUUAAUACCCGGGGGGAAUGACGGUCCCCAAGGAUUAAGCCCCGGCUAAUUUCGGGCCAGCAGCCGGGGAAAUCCGAAGGGGGCAAGCUUACUUCGGAAAUUACUGGCCGUAAAGCGGUGCGAAGGUGGGUUCGGUUAAGUCCUGCGGUGGAAACCCCCGGCCUCAACCCUGGAAAUGGCGGUGGGAUACUGGGCGGAACUAAGAGUGCGGAAGAGGGUGGUGGAAUUCCCGGGUGUAAGCAGUGAAAUGCGUAGAGAUCGGAAGAAACAUCUUGUGGCGAAGGCGGCACCCUGGACCAGCACUGACACUGAGGCACGAAAGCGUGGGGAGCAAACAGGAUUAGAUACCCUGGUAGUCCACCGCCCUAACGAUG
rnacentral:rRNA from 1 species